rnacentral:rRNA from 1 species
CCCUUAGAUGUUCUGGGCCGCACGCGCGCUACACUGACGCAUUCAACGAGUCUCCUUGGCCGAGAGGCCUGGGUAAUCUUGUGAACGUGCGUCGUGAUAGGGAUAGAUUAUUGCAAUUAUUAAUCUUGAACGAGGAAUUCCUAGUAAACGCAGAUCAUCAAUCUGCAUUGAUUACGUCCCUGCCCUUUGUACACACCGCCCGUCGCACCUACCGAUUGGAUGGUCCGGUGAGGCCUCGGGAUUGUGGCCGGUGCAUUCAUUUGUGUCGGUUGCGAGAACUUGUCCAAACCUUAUCAUCUAGAGGAAGGUGAANUCGUANCA